rnacentral:rRNA from 1 species
CAGCCGCCGCGGGAAUACGAGGGGGGCAAGCGUUGUUCGGAAUUAUUGGGCGUAAAGGGUGCGUAGGCGGCUUGACAAGUCUUGUGUGAAAUCUAUGGGCUCAACCCAUAGUCUGCACGGGAAACUGUCGGGCUUGAGUAUGGGAGAGGUGAGUGGAAUUUCCGGUGUAGCGGUGAAAUGCGUAGAUAUCGGAAGGAACACCUGUGGCGAAAGCGGCUCACUGGACCAUAACUGACGCUGAGGCACGAAAGCUAGGGGAGCAAACAGGAUUAGAGACCCCGGUAGUCCCUGUCUCUUAUAA